rnacentral:rRNA from 1 species
ACUAUAGCAUCAGGGUUCCACCUCUUCCCAUUCCGAACAGAGAAGUUAAGCCUGAUCACGCCGAUGGUACUGCGUAACAGUGGGAGAGUAGGUAGU